GUAGGUGGCAAGCGUUGUCCGGAAUUAUUGGGCGUAAAGCGCGCGCAGGCGGUUCUUUAAGUCUGAUGUGAAAGCCCACGGCUCAACCGUGGAGGGUCAUUGGAAACUGGAGAACUUGGGUACAGAAGAGGAAAGCGGAAUUCCACGUGUAGCGGUGAAAUGCGUAGAGAUGUGGAGGAACACCAGUGGCGAAGGCGGCUUUCUGGUCUGUAACUGACGCUGAGGCGCGAAAGCGUGGGGAGCAAACAGGGAUUAGAUACCCUGGUAGUCCACGCCGUAAACGAUGAGUGCUAAGUGUUAGGGGGUUUCCCGCCCCUUAGUGCUGCAGCUAACGCAUUAAGCACUCCGCCUGGGGAUACGACCGCAAGGUUG
rnacentral:rRNA from 1 species